rnacentral:piRNA from 1 species
UCCAUUCUACAACUGCCCCAAGUUUUGUGU